AUUGAACGCUGGCGGCAGGCCUAACACAUGCAAGUCGAGCGGAUGAAGGGAGCUUGCUCCUGGAUUCAGCGGCGGACGGGUGAGUAAUGCCUAGGAAUCUGCCUGGUAGGGGGGGAUAACGUCCGGAAACGGGCGCUAAUACCGCAUACGUCCUGAGGGAGAAAGUGGGGGAUCUUCGGACCUCACGCUAUCAGAUGAGCCUAGGUCGGAUUAGCUAGUUGGUGUGGUAAGGGCCUACCAAGGCGACGAUCCGUAACUGGUCUGAGAGGAUGAUCAGUCACAUGGGAACUGAAACACGGUCCAGAGUACUACGGUAGGCAGCAGUGGGGUAUAUUGGGCAAUGGGGGAAAGCCUGAUCCAGUCAUGCCGCGUGUGUGAAGAAGGUCUUCGGAUUGUAAAGCACUUUAAGUUGGGAGGAAGGGCAGUAAGUUGAUACCUUGCUGUUUUGACGUUACCAACAGAAGAAGCACCGGCUAACUUCGUG
rnacentral:rRNA from 1 species